UACAGAGGUCUCAAGCGUUGUUCGGAUUCAUUGGGCGUAAAGGGUGCGUAGGCGGCGCGGUAAGUCGGGUGUGAAAUCCUGGAGCUCAACUCCAGAACUGCCUUCGAUACUGGAGAGCUCGAGUCCGGGAGAGGUGAGUGGAACUGCGAGUGUAGAGGUGAAAUUCGUAGAUAUUCGCAAGAACACCAGUGGCGAAGGCGGCUCACUGGCCCGGUACUGACGCUGAGGUGCGAAAGCGUGGGGAGCAACAGG
rnacentral:rRNA from 1 species